rnacentral:rRNA from 1 species
CCUACGGGUGGCAGCAGUGAGGAAUAUUGGUCAAUGGACGAGAGUCUGAACCAGCCAAGUAGCGUGAAGGAUGACUGCCCUAUGGGUUGUAAACUUCUUUUAUAUGGGAAUAAAAUGUUCCACGUGUGGGAUUUUGUAUGUACCAUAUGAAUAAGGCUCGGCUAACUCCGUUCCAGCAGCCGCGGUAAUACGGAGGAUCCGAGCGUUAUCCGGAUUUAUUGGGUUUAAAGGGAGCGUAGGUGGAUAGUUAAGUCAGUUGGGAAAGUUUGCGGCUCAAACGUAAAAUUGCAGUUGAAACUGGCAGUCUUGAGUACAGUAGAGGUGGGCGGAAUUCGUGGUGUAGCGGUGAAAUGCUUAGAUAUCACGAAGAACUCCGAUUGCGAAGGCAGCUCACUGGACUGCAACUGACACUGAGGCUCGAAAGUGUGGGUAUCAAACAGGAUUAGAUACCCCAGUAGUC